rnacentral:rRNA from 1 species
UCAGUGAAAUCGAGUAGGGCGGGACACGUGAUAUCCUGUCUGAAUAUGGGGGGACCAUCCUCCAAGGCUAAAUACUACUGACUGACCGAUAGUGAACCAGUACCGUGAGGGAAAGGCGAAAAGAACCCCUGUGAGGGGAGUGAAAUAGAACCUGAAACCGUGUACGUACAAGCAGUAGGAGCAGGCUUUGUCCUGUGACUGCGUACCUUUUGUAUAAUGGGUCAGCGACUUAUAUUCAGUGGCAAGGUUAACCAUCUAGGGGAGCCGUAGGGAAACCGAGUCUUAACUGGGCGUUCAGUCUCUGGAUAUAGACCCGAAACCAGGUGAUCUAGCCAUGGGCAGGUUGAAGGUUGAGUAACAUCAACUGGAGGACCGAACCGACUAAUGUUGAAAAAUUAGCGGAUGACUUGUGGCUAGGGGUGAAAGGCCAAUCAAACCUGGAGAUAGCUGGUUCUCCCCGAAAGCUAUUUAGGUAGCGCCUCGGACGAAUACUACUGGGGGUAGAGCACUGUUAAGGCUAGGGGGUCAUCCCGACUUACCAACCCUUUGCAAACUCCGAAUACCAGUAAGUACUAUCCGGGAGACACACGGCGGGUGCUAACGUCCGUCGUGGAGAGGGAAACAACCCAGACCGCCAGCUAAGGUCCCAAAUUACUACUAAGUGGGAAACGAUGUGGGAAGGCUCAGACAGCCAGGAUGUUGGCUUAGAAGCAGCCAUCAUUUAAAGAAAGCGUAAUAGCUCACUGGUCGAGUCGGCCUGCGCGGAAGAUGUAACGGGGCUAAGUAGUAAACCGAAGCUGCGGCAAUGUGCUUUUGCACAUUGGGUAGGGGAGCGUUCUGUAAGCGGUUGAAGGUGUGUGGUAACGCAUGCUGGACGUAUCAGAAGUGCGAAUGCUGACAUGAGUAACGAUAAAGGGGGUGAAAAACCUCCUCGCCGGAAGACCAAGGGUUCCUGUCCAACGUUAAUCGGGGCAGGGUAAGUCGACCCCUAAGGCGAGGCCGAAAGGCGUAGUCGAUGGGAAACGGGUUAAUAUUCCCGUACUUCUUACAAUUGCGAUGGGGGGACGGAGAAGGCUAGGUGGGCCUGGCGACGGUUGUC